GGGCGCACGGUGGAUGCCUUGACACUAGGAGUCGAUGAAGGACGGGACUAACGCCGAUAUGCUUCGGGGAGCUGUAAGUAAGCUUUGAUCCGAAGAUUUCCGAAUGGGGAAACCCACCAUACGUAAUGGUAUGGUAUCCUUAUCUGAAUACAUAGGGUAAGGAAGACAGACCCAGGGAACUGAAACAUCUAAGUACCUGGAGGAAGAGAAAGCAAAUGCGAUUUCCUGAGUAGCGGCGAGCGAAACGGAACAUAGCCCAAACCAAGAGGCUUGCCUCUUGGGGUUGUAGGACAUUCUAUACGGAGUUACAAAGGAACGAGGUAGACGAAGCGACCUGGAAAGGUCCGUCGUAGAGGGUAACAACCCCGUAGUCGAAACUUCGUUCUCUCUUGAAUGUAUCCUGAGUACGGCGGAACACGUGAAAUUCCGUCGGAAUCUGGGAGGACCAUCUCCCAAGGCUAAAUACUCCCUAGUGAUCGAUAGUGAACCAGUACCGUGAGGGAAAGGUGAAAAGCACCCCGGAAGGGGAGUGAAAGAGAUCCUGAAACCGUGUGCCUACAAAUAGUCAGAGCCCGUUAACGGGUGAUGGCGUGCCUUUUGUAGAAUGAACCGGCGAGUUACGAUCCCGUGCGAGGUUAAGCUGAAGAGGCGGAGCCGCAGCGAAAGCGAGUCUGAAUAGGGCGUUUAGUACGUGGUCGUAGACCCGAAACCAGGUGAUCUACCCAUGUCCAGGGUGAAGUUCAGGUAACACUGAAUGGAGGCCCGAACCCACGCACGUUGAAAAGUGCGGGGAUGAGGUGUGGGUAGCGGAGAAAUUCCAAUCGAACCUGGAGAUAGCUGGUUCUCCCCGAAAUAGCUUUAGGGCUAGCCUUAAGUGUAAGAGUCUUGGAGGUAGAGCACUGAUUGGACUAGGGGUCCUCAUCGGAUUACCGAAUUCAGUCAAACUCCGAAUGCCAAUGACUUAUCCUUAGGAGUCAGACUGCGAGUGAUAAGAUCCGUAGUCAAAAGGGAAACAGCCCAGACCGCCAGCUAAGGUCCCAAAGUGUGUAUUAAGUGGAAAAGGAUGUGGAGUUGCUUAGACAACUAGGAUGUUGGCUUAGAAGCAGCCACCAUUUAAAGAGUGCGUAAUAGCUCACUAGUCGAGUGACUCUGCGCCGAAAAUGUACCGGGGCUAAAUACACCACCGAAGCUGCGGAUUGAUACCAAUGGUAUCAGUGGUAGGGGAGCGUUCUAAGGACAGUGAAGUCAGACCGGAAGGACUGGUGGAGUGCUUAGAAGUGAGAAUGCCGGUAUGAGUAGCGAAAGACGGGUGAGAAUCCCGUCCACCGAAUGCCUAAGGUUUCCUGAGGAAGGCUCGUCCGCUCAGGGUUAGUCAGGACCUAAGCCGAGGCCGACAGGCGUAGGCGAUGGACAACAGGUUGAUAUUCCUGUACCACCUCUUUAUCGUUUGAGCAAUGGAGGGACGCAGAAGGAUAGAAGAAGCGUGCGAUUGGUUGUGCACGUCCAAGCAGUUAGGCUGAUAAGUAGGCAAAUCCGCUUAUCGUGAAGGCUGAGCUGUGAUGGGGAAGCUCCUUAUGGAGCGAAGUCUUUGAUUCCCCGCUGCCAAGAAAAGCUUCUAGCGAGAUAAAAGGUGCCUGUACCGCAAACCGACACAGGUAGGCGAGGAGAGAAUCCUAAGGUGUGCGAGAGAACUCUGGUUAAGGAACUCGGCAAAAUGACCCCGUAACUUCGGGAGAAGGGGUGCUUUCUUAACGGAAAGCCGCAGUGAAUAGGCCCAAGCGACUGUUUAGCAAAAACACAGCUCUCUGCGAAGCCGUAAGGCGAAGUAUAGGGGGUGACACCUGCCCGGUGCUGGAAGGUUAAGGAGAGGGGUUAGCGUAAGCGAAGCUCUGAACUGAAGCCCCAGUAAACGGCGGCCGUAACUAUAACGGUCCUAAGGUAGCGAAAUUCCUUGUCGGGUAAGUUCCGACCCGCACGAAAGGUGUAACGAUUUGGGCACUGUCUCAACCAGAGACUCGGUGAAAUUAUAGUACCUGUGAAGAUGCAGGUUACCCGCGACAGGACGGAAAGACCCCGUGGAGCUUUACUGUAGCCUGAUAUUGAAUUUUGGUACAGUUUGUACAGGAUAGGCGGGAGCCAUUGAAACCGGAGCGCUAGCUUCGGUGGAGGCGCUGGUGGGAUACCGCCCUGACUGUAUUGAAAUUCUAACCUACGGGUCUUAUCGACCCGGGAGACAGUGUCAGGUGGGCAGUUUGACUGGGGCGGUCGCCUCCUAAAGUGUAACGGAGGCGCCCAAAGGUUCCCUCAGAAUGGUUGGAAAUCAUUCGUAGAGUGCAAAGGCAUAAGGGAGCUUGACUGCGAGACCUACAAGUCGAGCAGGGACGAAAGUCGGGCUUAGUGAUCCGGUGGUUCCGCAUGGAAGGGCCAUCGCUCAACGGAUAAAAGCUACCCCGGGGAUAACAGGCUUAUCUCCCCCAAGAGUCCACAUCGACGGGGAGGUUUGGCACCUCGAUGUCGGCUCAUCGCAUCCUGGGGCUGUAGUCGGUCCCAAGGGUUGGGCUGUUCGCCCAUUAAAGCGGUACGCGAGCUGGGUUCAGAACGUCGUGAGACAGUUCGGUCCCUAUCCGUCGUGGGCGUAGGAAAUUUGAGAGGAGCUGUCCUUAGUACGAGAGGACCGGGAUGGACGCACCGCUGGUGUACCAGUUGUUCUGCCAAGGGCAUAGCUGGGUAGCUAUGUGCGGAAGGGAUAAGUGCUGAAAGCAUCUAAGCAUGAAGCCCCCCUCAAGAUGAGAUUUCCCAUAGCGUAAGCUAGUAAGAUCCCUGAAAGAUGAUCAGGUUGAUAGGUUCGAGGUGGAAGCAUGGUGACAUGUGGAGCUGACGAAUACUAAUAGAUCGAGGACUUAACCAU
rnacentral:rRNA from 1 species